GAUGAACGCUGGCGGCGUGCCUAAUACAUGCAAGUCGAGCUAACAUACGAGUUUCUUGUUCCUCUUACGUUAGCGACGGACGGGUGAGUAACACGUGGCUAACCUCCCUAUUAGACUGGGCUAACUUCGAGAAACCGUAGCUAAUACCGUAUAAUUUAUUGAACCGCAUGUUUCUAUAGUGAAUGUCGGUUUUGCUGUCACUUUUAGCUUGCUCCUCGCCGCAUUAGCUGGUUGGUAAGGUAACGGCGUAACAAGGCUACGAUGCGUAGCCGACCUGAGAGGAUGAUCAGCCAGCCUGGAACUGUGACAGGCUACAGACGCACAGGGAAGGCACCAGUAGGGAAACUGCAGCAAGGGGCGAAAGCCAGACGAAGAAACGCCACGAGAGUGAUGAAGGUAUUCGGAGCGUAAAACGCUGUUAUUAGGGAAGAACAAAUGUGUAAGUAACUAUGAAAGACUUGACGGUACCAAAUCAGAAAGCCACGGCUAAAUACGUG
rnacentral:rRNA from 1 species